rnacentral:rRNA from 1 species
AAGGAGUGGGCUCAGUGUACUGAGCUUAAGGUACGUGCUAAUCCCAGGCGGAAGCCUGCUGCUGUGAAUAGGCCCGACAGGCCGAAGCAUAGCGGGGCGGGCAGCUAUUGCCCGCUGGAAUCCCAGCGCUCUCGGGCGCUGGGGUAUGCUGUGAUGCCCUUAGAUGUUCUGGGCCGCACGCGCGCUACACUGACGGAGCCAGCGAGUACUCCCUUGGCCGAAAGGCCUGGGUAAUCUUGUGAAACUC